rnacentral:rRNA from 1 species
AUAACAUCCGGAAACGGGUGCUAAUACCGCAUAGUUUUCUUGAUCGCAUGAUUGAGAAGGAAAGACGGCCUUUGUGCUGUCGCUUAUGGAUGGACCCGCGGCGUAUUAGUAGUUGGUGAGGUAACGGCUCACCAAGACGAUGAUACGUAGCCGACCUGAGAGGGUGAUCGGCCACAUUGGGACUGAGACACGGCCCAAACUCCUACGGGAGGCAGCAGUAGGGAAUCUUCCGCAAUGGACGAAAGUCUGACGGAGCAACGCCGCGUGAGUGAAGAAGGGUUUUUUCCGGAUCGUAAAACUCUGUUGUCAGAGAAGAACAAGUUGGAGAGUAACUGCUCCAGCCUUGACGGUAUCUGACCAGAAAGCCACGGCUAACUACGUGCCAGCAGCAGC